AGCGAACGCUGGCGGCAGGCCUAACACAUGCAAGUCGAGCGGGCGUAGCAAUACGUCAGCGGCAGACGGGAGAGUAACACGUGGGAACGUGCCCAUUGGUUCGGAAUAACUCAGGGAAACUUGAGCUAAUACCGGAUAAGCCCUUCGGGGGAAAGAUUUAUUGCCAUUGGAGCGGCCCGCGUCGGAUUAGCUAGUUGGUGAGGUAAUGGCUCACCAAGGCGACGAUCCGUAGCUGGUCUGAGAGGAUGACCAGCCUCACUGGGACUGAGACACGGCCCAGACUCCUACGGGAGGCAGCAGUGGGGAAUAUUGGACAAUGGGCGCAAGCCUGAUCCGGCCAUGCCGCGUGGAUGAUGAAGGCCCUAGGGUUGUAAAGUCCUUUAAACGGGGAAGAUAAUGACGGUACCCGUAGAAUAAGCCCCGGCUAACUUCGUGCCAGCAGCCGCUGUAA
rnacentral:rRNA from 1 species